rnacentral:rRNA from 1 species
UACAGAGGUCUCAAGCGUUGUUCGGAUUCAUUGGGCGUAAAGGGUGCGUAGGCGGCGCGGUAAGUCGGAUGUGAAAUCUCGGAGCUUAACUCCGAAACUGCAUUCGAUACUGCGGUGCUUUGAGGACUGGAGAGGAGACUGGAAUUCAUGGUGUAGCAGUGAAAUGCGUAGAGAUCAUGAGGAAGACCAGUGGCGAAGGCGGGUCUCUGGACAGUUCCUGACACUGAGACACGAAGGCCAGGGGAGCAAACGGG